GCAGAAUCCGCAAGAAAGCUUCUCUCUGAAACUACUGGCAGGUCUCUUUGAAGGACUAGGUGACAGUUGUGUAAGAAAGCUGAUGCUGUCUGUGGGAGGGAAGACAUCUUUCACAACUCAAAGGGAAGCCACCUGGAGCUGCCAGAGAUUCCAUGGAGGCCCCGUAUAAGGGCACUGGAGUGGAGGCUUCCUGGGAUGAGGCAAACCCAGGGAAAACAUUGGUCUGUGCUUUGGGAUGAGCAGCAGGACAGCAAGAAAAAAUUCAGGACUCCAGGGCUAUUCAGAUCACCAGACUGAAUCUCUAGGUUCAAUCCUGAGUAAGAUGAAGGACAAACUGUUCCACUUAAGAAAAACCCCAGGAAGAAACUGGAACCUAGGAUAUGUGUACACAAAAGAAUUGCACUGACUGCUGCUCAUGUAGGUAUACCCAAAGUAAAUUCCAAUUAGCCAUCUCAGGUACUGCUAACAGUAUAGCUGUGGCAACACAGACCUCAGUGUGAACUACCUACCCAAGUAUUUACUCACUUUUAGGAGAGGGUGAGGCAUAGCCCCUGCUGAACUUCAUGCUGACACAGCUAGACUGCUACCAGUUCCUGAUCUGUGACUGCCAUUUAAAGACUCAGUCAGCAUCCACAAUGUUUUCCCUUUGGGUUUCAUGGCUUUCAGCAACAUCCUCUACCCUCACCUAAUUAAGGAUUUGGAAGAACAUGAAGAAUCAGACCCAAACCUCCACAUGCUCUCCAGCACCCCUACUUAUGGGUAACAGGAAAUAUCUUGAAAACACAAGCUGUAUUCUAUACUGGACUGUAGUCUGGAUGGGCUGAGCAGAGUUGGUGGAAACCUAAACAGCUAAAUAAAGCAAGGUUAUGAUUCAGCUAUUAACACCUUAUCCAUGAACUUGAACAAUGUCUUGCUGUAUACCUGUAAAUGAGUCUUUGCAUUUGUGUUUGUUUCAUUUUGCACAUGGAUAGGGGUGGAUGGGGAAAAGGCCUUUGGUGUUCUAAUCAAUGUGACUAGACAAUGUGAUGAUUCCAAACCUCUUAAACAUUGUUAUAAAAAUGAUAAUCAUGUUCUUUGUAUGGGGCAUGGAAGGUUAUAAAAAAAUAUAAUCUUCUUCAUACAGGACAAGGAAGUUAUUUAUUGAACAAAUGAGGCUACAAGGACUCAUGAAACUGUGUAUGCAAUGAGUUGCAGUCAGUAAGUCACAUUGCAAGCUCCUGCCCCAAACUUGCAUAUCAUUGACAGACUGAAGCAAUCCACUUAGCAUGCCCAGAUGUCAUCAACUGGCUAUCAAACUUCAACAUACAACUUUAAUUAACCUGCACCUUCUCUGCCAUUGCUUGCUCUAGCCAUACAGAAGAAGAAGAGGUUUUUAAUGUAUUUUAUAUUUCGUAUUGCUUUAAUAUUUCCCCUUAUUUUGAUGCAACACAGAACUACAAUUUUGAAGAUUUUAAAUUUCCUAGCUCCAUGAAGAUGUAAAGAAAGUUAUCAGGCAAUCUAACCUCCUAUUAUACUUCUCUUAUACUUGUUAACCUGUUCUAAAAAGAUGAAUCUUUGAUUUCAAGUGGAUUACAAUAAGACAUGAAUAUCAGAAAAUUAAUUAUUCAUUUAAAAGCUCAAGAGCACAAUCACAAAAGCUUUUCUUAUUGUAUAUCUUUGCACACUUAGCAUCAUUGUACUGAUAAUAUGUAUUUAGAUGACUACAUUUAGUUCAAUUUUUGCUAACUCUUAAUGCAGCUAUUGUGUAAGACUUACAUAUGCUCAGAAACCUAAUUUUGAAUAUAUGUCUUCAAAUUUACAGUUACUUACAGAAAAAAAAAAAUCCUUUAACUCCCUGUCUCCUGUGGAUCUUCAUGCAUCAGCAGGCUAGCCUAUCUCAUUGGAAGUCCAGCUAUUUCUUUUUCCCAUAUCUGAAUAAUGCAAAAGUGACAGUGGGAAAUAGUCCUUCACUCUGCAUGUGGCUAGUGUUUAUUUCUAAAUAAUAUAUAGCAGGAUAAUAAUAAAUGUUAAUAUUUAGUAUUUUUGUAGUUUUUCCUCAGAAAAUCCUAGAAAGACUAAUUAAUAGCAUCAUCCCCACCUUUUUUUACAGAAGGGAAACCUGACAAACAGCAGGGAUAGUGGGGAGUGGGAGGAAGAAACCGUCCAAACUCAAUAGAUCAGUGGAAGAGUGGAAACUUGCAUACAGGGUUCUUGAUUUAUGUUCCCUUGAUGUAGCCAACAGGUGAUAUUGAUUUUUUUUUUAAUGAAGUUAACAUAUUCUGUGUUUAUACUACUUUGGUGUAGCUGUCAAAAUAAGAACAAGUCCCAUAGUAUUUGCAAGAAAAUGUACACUGCACAGUGAAUAAUAAAUUAAAAUAAUAAUAAAUAAUAAGUUUAAAUAUUUUUAAAUGGAAAUCCAAAAUCUUAAGCAAAAGAGUUUUCUUUAUCUUUAACCCACAACUAAUAAUUAUGUUCAGUUAAGUGAUAAAUUGAAUUACACAAACAAACAUGUAUUUUGACAAGUAAAUUUGUUCAAAAGAAGAUGUCUAAGGAUAAGUCACUGGAGAUAAAGAUGCAGAUUCUGUUACUUCUCUAAGUGGUUCUGAUCUUAGAUGCCUUUUAGGCAUUUACAUCACAAAAUAUGAUCCUAUUCCAUUCAGUUUAGCAAUUGCAAAACUACAGGAUUCAUUAUUCACCUUCCUUCUGGUCCUAAAAGAUCCUUAUUUGACUAGACUUGGACUACUGCACAUGCAGAUAAGUACUCCACAAUGACUAGCUGAAUGUCAAACUUCCCCUCAAUGCUUUUGUGAUGCUACUCCAUCUGGAAAAAAUGCAUACAUUUAGGGUAAGUCCCAGGGUCUUUAAACAGAUUAAAACUACACUAAGUGUGUCUACACAUGAGUGUGGAGGCUGCUCCGAUGUGCUGGAAUUCCAGUGCAUUGGAGGAGACACAAUUAAUCAAGUCUGCUGGAGCAUAGUAAUUGCCAAUUGCCACGCUCAAGCAUCCUCCUGCAUCUUGUGUAUCAGCAUCCCCAUGCUUAAAAAUGGAGGUGCGAGCACUUGAUCUAAAGCUCUAUGCUCCUUGCACUCAGACCCUACAUGAAACAUAGUGGCACUUUAAUUAGAGGGGCUCUCAGAGUCACUCUAAUUAAAGCACUGCACCUUCAGAACACGUGUGAAAGUGUCCUAAGUGACUGCUUGCAACUGAGAUCAUGUAUACAUACACCAUAUAGCCUAGUGUUUGCACCAUUUGACCAAGAAGUGUUAGGCUUGGAGUUCUCAUCCUCACCCAGCCAGAAGAAUUUACCCUACCUACUAGGCUAUGUCAUGAAGCUGGUCCUCUAGGAGGAAAAGAAUGCAAAAGUCGUGGGGACAGAAGGAGAACAGGGAAAGAAGUGUGACUGGGAGACAAAAAGAUCCUACUGGGAGAGAACCAGCUAGCUCUGUCUUCUGCUCUCAAUGCUGUUUGUAGGAACUGGGGUCAGAACCCAGUGCUCCUUCCUCCAAGUAAAAUGUCAAGGUCACUGCACAAGAGAAAUGAAUCCCUUUUUUACUUCUUCUCCCUUGGGUCCAAUGAACCUUUCAUGGUCAGCUGCCCAGUGGCACACCUUGAAUAGGAGUGGAGAAUAAUUAUAUUAAAAUAACCUAAGGGCAAGUGCAUGCUUGCUUUGUUUUUGUGUUGUAAAUUCUGGUAUUGUGUAUAUUCUCUACGUAUCUUGUUUAAAGAAAUGCAGCAUAGCUUAGUAUUGUUCCAUCAUCCUGUGUACAAACUUUUCUCGGGAAUAUAGAAAACUAUUUUAAAGAAAGUUAUAUGGUAUUCUUUCAGCUAAUCAAAAUGAAGUUAAAAAAAUGG